rnacentral:rRNA from 1 species
AUGGGAACGCGAAGAACCUUACCUAGACUUGACAUCUCCUGAAUAGUGUAGAGAUACAUGAAGCCCUUCGGGGCGAGGAAGACAGGUGGUGCAUGGUUGUCGUCAGCUCGUGUCGUGAGAUGUUGGGUUAAGUCCCGCAACGAGCGCAACCCUUAUUACUAGUUGCUACCAUUAAGUUGAGCACUCUAGUGAGACUGCCCGGGUUAACCGGGAGGAAGGCGGGAUGACGUCAAAUCAUCAUGCCCCUUAUGUCUAGGGCAACACACGUGCUACAAUGGUGAGUACAGAUAGAUGCGAUACCGCAAGGUGGAGCCAAACUCUAAAACUCAUCCCAGUUCGGAUUGUAGGCUGCAACUCGCCUACAUGAAGUUGGAGUUGCUAGUAAUCGCGAAUCAGAAUGUCGCGGUGAAUAC